UACGAAGGGUGCAAGCGUUACUCGGAAUUACUGGGCGUAAAGCGUGCGUAGGUGGUGCAUUAAGUCUGUCGUGAAAGCCCCGGGCUCAACCUGGGAAUGGCGAUGGAUACUGGCGCGCUAGAGUGCGGUAGAGGAGAGUGGAAUUCCCGGUGUAGCAGUGAAAUGCGUAGAGAUCGGGAGGAACAUCAGUUGCGAAGGCGGCUCUCUGGACCAGCACUGACACUGGAGGCACGAAAGCGUGGGGAGCAAACAGG
rnacentral:rRNA from 1 species